UACAGAGGUCCCAAGCGUUGUUCGGAUUCAUUGGGCGUAAAGGGUGCGUAGGUGGCGCUGUAAGUCGGGUGUGAAAUUUCGGAGCUUAACUCCGAAACUGCAUUCGAUACUGCGGUGCUUGAGGACUGGAGAGGAGACUGGAAUUCAUGGUGUAGCAGUGAAAUGCGUAGAGAUCAUGAGGAAGACCAGUGGCGAAGGCGGGUCUCUGGGCCGAUACUGACGCUGAGGAGCGAAAGCGUGGGGAGCGAACAGG
rnacentral:rRNA from 1 species